GUGGGGAAUAUUGGGCAAUGGGCGAAAGCCUGACCCAGCGACGCCGCGUGAGGGAAGAAGGUCUUCGGAUUGUAAACCUCUUUCAGCAAGGAAGAAGUAAGUGACGGUACUUGCAGAAGAAGCCACGGCUAACUACGUGCCAGCAGCCGCGGUAAUACGUAGGUGGCGAGCGUUAUCCGGAAUUACUGGGUGUAAAGGGUGUGUAGGCGGGGAGUCAAGUCAGAUGUGAAAAUUAUGGGCUCAACCCAUAACCUGCGUCUGAAACUGAUUCUCUUGAGAGUGGGAGAGGUAAACGGAAUUCCUGGUGUAGCGGUGAAAUGCGUAGAUAUCAGGAGGAACACCGGUGGCGAAGGCGGUUUACUGGACCACAACUGACGCUGAGACACGAAAGCGUGGGGAGCAAACAGGAUUAGAAACCCUAGUAGUCC
rnacentral:rRNA from 1 species